GGGUUGUGAGGUUAAGCGACUAAGCGUACACGGUGGAUGCCCUGGCAGUCAGAGGCGAUGAAGGACGUGCUAAUCUGCGAAAAGCGUCGGUAAGGUGAUAUGAACCGUUAUAGCCGGCGAUGUCCGAAUGGGGAAACCCAGUGCAAUUCGUUGCACUAUCGUUAACUGAAUACAUAGGUUAACGAGGCGAACCGGGGGAACUGAAACAUCUAAGUACCCCGAGGAAAAGAAAUCAACCGAGAUUCCCCCAGUAGCGGCGAGCGAACGGGGAGCAGCCCGGAGUCUGAAUCAGCUUGUGUGUUAGUGGAAGCGUCUGGAAAGUCGCAGGGUACAGGGUGAUACUCCCGUACACUAAAACACACAGGUUGUGAACUCGAAGAGUAGGGCGGGACACGUGGUAUCCUGUCUGAAUAUGGGGGGACCAUCCUCCAAGGCUAAAUACUCCUGACUGACCGAUAGUGAACCAGUACCGUGAGGGAAAGGCGAAAAGAACCCCGGCGAGGGGAGUGAAAAAGAACCUGAAACCGUGUACGUACAAGCAGUAGGAGCCCACUUGUUGGGUGACUGCGUACCUUUUGUAUAAUGGGUCAGCGACUUAUAUUCUGUAGCAAGGUUAACCGUAUAGGGGAGCCGCAGGGAAACCGAGUCUUAACUGGGCGUUAAGUUGCAGGGUAUAGACCCGAAACCCGGUGAUCUAGCCAUGGGCAGGUUGAAGGUUGGGUAACACUAACUGGAGGACCGAACCGACUAAUGUUGAAAAAUUAGCGGAUGACUUGUGGCUGGGGGUGAAAGGCCAAUCAAACCGGGAGAUAGCUGGUUCUCCCCGAAAGCUAUUUAGGUAGCGCCUCGUGAAUUCAUCUUCGGGGGUAGAGCACUGUUUCGGCUAGGGGGUCAUCCCGACUUACCAACCCGAUGCAAACUACGAAUACCGAAGAAUGUUAUCACGGGAGACACACGGCGGGUGCUAACGUCCGUCGUGAAGAGGGAAACAACCCAGACCGCCAGCUAAGGUCCCAAAGUCAUGGUUAAGUGGGAAACGAUGUGGGAAGGCCCAGACAGCCAGGAUGUUGGCUUAGAAGCAGCCAUCAUUUAAAGAAAGCGUAAUAGCUCACUGGUCGAGUCGGCCUGCGCGGAAGAUGUAACGGGGCUAAACCAUGCACCGAAGCUGCGGCAGCGACACUAUGUGUUGUUGGGUAGGGGAGCGUUCUGUAAGCCGUUGAAGGUGGCCUGUGAGGGUUGCUGGAGGUAUCAGAAGUGCGAAUGCUGACAUAAGUAACGAUAAUGCGGGUGAAAAACCCGCACGCCGGAAGACCAAGGGUUCCUGUCCAACGUUAAUCGGGGCAGGGUGAGUCGACCCCUAAGGCGAGGCCGAAAGGCGUAGUCGAUGGGAAACAGGUUAAUAUUCCUGUACUCGGUGUUACUGCGAAGGGGGGACGGAGAAGGCUAUGUUGGCCGGGCGACGGUUGUCCCGGUUUAAGCAUGUAGGCGGAUGUUCCAGGUAAAUCCGGAACGUCACUAACGCUGAGGUGUGAUGACGAGGCACUACGGUGCUGAAGUGACAAAUGCCCUGCUUCCAGGAAAAGCCUCUAAGCAUCAGGUAACAUCAAAUCGUACCCCAAACCGACACAGGUGGUCAGGUAGAGAAUACCAAGGCGCUUGAGAGAACUCGGGUGAAGGAACUAGGCAAAAUGGUGCCGUAACUUCGGGAGAAGGCACGCUGAUGGUAGGUGAAGUGACUUGCUCAUGGAGCUGAAAUCAGUCGAAGAUACCAGCUGGCUGCAACUGUUUAUUAAAAACACAGCACUGUGCAAACACGAAAGUGGACGUAUACGGUGUGACGCCUGCCCGGUGCCGGAAGGUUAAUUGAUGGGGUUAUCCGUAAGGAGAAGCUCUUGAUCGAAGCCCCGGUAAACGGCGGCCGUAACUAUAACGGUCCUAAGGUAGCGAAAUUCCUUGUCGGGUAAGUUCCGACCUGCACGAAUGGCGUAAUGAUGGCCAGGCUGUCUCCACCCGAGACUCAGUGAAAUUGAACUCGCUGUGAAGAUGCAGUGUACCCGCGGCAAGACGGAAAGACCCCGUGAACCUUUACUAUAGCUUGACACUGAACACUGGUCCUUGAUGUGUAGGAUAGGUGGGAGGCUUUGAAGUGUGGACGCCAGUCUGCAUGGAGCCAUCCUUGAAAUACCACCCUUUAAUGGCUGGUGUUCUAACGUGGGCCCCUAAUCGGGGUUGCGGACAGUGUCUGGUGGGUAGUUUGACUGGGGCGGUCUCCUCCUAAAGAGUAACGGAGGAGCACGAAGGUCAGCUAAUCCUGGUCGGACAUCAGGAGGUUAGUGCAAUGGCAUAAGCUGGCUUGACUGCGAGCGUGACGGCGCGAGCAGGUGCGAAAGCAGGUCAUAGUGAUCCGGUGGUUCUGAAUGGAAGGGCCAUCGCUCAACGGAUAAAAGGUACUCCGGGGAUAACAGGCUGAUACCGCCCAAGAGUUCAUAUCGACGGCGGUGUUUGGCACCUCGAUGUCGGCUCAUCACAUCCUGGGGCUGAAGUAGGUCCCAAGGGUAUGGCUGUUCGCCAUUUAAAGUGGUACGCGAGCUGGGUUUAGAACGUCGUGAGACAGUUCGGUCCCUAUCUGCCGUGGGCGCUGGAGAAUUGAGGGGGGCUGCUCCUAGUACGAGAGGACCGGAGUGGACGCAUCACUGGUGUUCGGGUUGUCAUGCCAAUGGCAUUGCCCGGUAGCUAAAUGCGGAAGAGAUAAGUGCUGAAAGCAUCUAAGCACGAAACUUGCCCCGAGAUGAGUUCUCCCUGACUCCUUGAGAGUCCUGAAGGAACGUUGAAGACGACGACGUUGAUAGGCCGGGUGUGUAAGCGCAGCGAUGCGUUGAGCUAACCGGUACUAAUGAACCGUGAGGCUUAACCUUACAACGCCGAAG
rnacentral:rRNA from 1 species